AUUUCAAGCUGCUGUUUCAACAAUCAAAAGGUUUGGGUGGCCAAGAUAGCUUGAAUGGUAAAGGUGAUGCUGGUGUUUUUCCAUAUCAUAGAUCCAGUAUCCGAGGCUAUUUAGCUGAUGUUUUAUUUGUGGUCACCUUCACGUGGUGCAAUGUUAGGGGCCCUGAGUCAUCAUGACUGAGAGUUGGAAGAUUGGGGUAUCUGGUACCCUGCAAAUGCACUCAUACCUCCCAAAGAAGAUUAUCAAUUGCUCUUCACGACAAGUAAUUAGUCUAACC